rnacentral:rRNA from 1 species
GUGCCAGCAGCCGCGGUAAUACGUAGGCAGCAAGCGUUGUUCGGAAUUACUGGGCGUAAAGAGUGCGUAGGCGGUUCGUCAAGUUUGGUGUGAAAUCUCCCGGCUUAACUGGGAGGGUGCGCCGAAAACUGGCGGACUGGAGUGCGGGAGAGGGAAGUGGAAUUCCUGGUGUAGCGGUGAAAUGCGUAGAUAUCAGGAGGAACACCUGAGGUGUAGACGGCUUCCUGGACCGUAACUGACGCUGAGGCACGAAAGCGUGGGUAGCAAACAGGAUUAGAUACCCUGGUAGUCCACGCCGUAAACGAUGGGCACUAGGUGUUCGGGGUACGAGAGGUACUCCGUGCCGGAGCGAACGCGUUAAGUGCACCGCCUGGGGAGUAUGCUCGCAAGGGUGAAACUCAAAGGAAUUGACGG